GCUUGACCCUCAACACAGAGCUUUGUCUCGUUCUUGGGGGGAUUUAUUGUAUGCUGUUCCAGUUUGACUGCUAGGAGUGUAAACCUAUUCGUAUGGUUUUUCCUAUUCGGCUGUUUACAGCAUUCGUAUGGUUUCCUGUUCGGCGGAUUGGUGUUCUGCAGUAGCUGUGCCUGCAUCUCUGGAAGGGGACGAUCGCCUAAACGGUUUUAACCCCUUGUGUGCUGAAACGGUCCGUUACAAUUGGUGGUAGCAGUGGGAUCGUUCCCACAGACAAAAGGACAGCUACAGGCGACACCAUUCCGUGGAUUUCCAAUUUGAGGGCAACGCAUGUCUGAAUACAGCGACCCUGACAGCACCGAGAUGGAACCAGCAGUGUUAUACGAGGAGGAGGACCUGGAUGGCCUCAAAGCAUUAAGGAAAGGCAUCUGGUACCAGGCCCUGGAUAAUGUACAAUACCAGCAGGGUGAGAGUCUCCCCAGUGAAGAGCAGCGGUUGCAGAAGCAAGUGGCCCUGCGGAUGCCCUUCCUGGGAGAGCAGCCCCUGGAGGAAUGGGUGAAGGAAAUGGAGCUCCGGGUAUGGCAGGAGAUUUGGCUGGAAGAUGCCUACCAGGC